UGCAUGCAAGUCGAGCGACGACUCCUUAGCCCGUGAGGGUUUAGCGGAGCGGCGAACGGGUGCGUAACACGUGACUAAUCUACCCCGAAGACCGGGAUAGCCCGGGAAACCCGGAUUAAUACCGGAUGAUCUCACCGCAGCGCAUGUUGCGGUUAGCAAAGGUUCAGGCGCUUCGGGAUGAGGUCGCGGCCCAUCAGCUGGUUGGUGAGGUAACGGCUCACCAAGGCAACGACGGGUAGCUGGUCUGAGAGGACGAUCAGCCACACUGGAACUGAGAUACGGUCCAGACUCCUACGGGAGGCAGCAGCAGGGAAUCUUGCGCAAUGGGCGAAAGCCUGACGCAGCGACGCCGCGUGGGGGAUGAAGGCCUUAGGGUUGUAAACCCCUUUCACGAGGGAAGAAAAUGACGGUACCUCGAGAAGAAGCCCCGGCUAACUACGUGCCAGCAGCCGCGGUAAUACGUAGGGGGCGAGCGUUGUCCGGAUUUAUUGGGCGUAAAGGGCUCGUAGGCGGCUUGACAAGUCGGCCGUGAAAACCCAGGGCUCAACCCUGGGACGCCGGUCGAUACUGUCAUGGCUAGGGUCCGGUAGAGGGGAAUGGAAUUCCCGGUGUAGCGGUGAAAUGCGCAGAUAUCGGGAGGAACACCAUUAGCGAAGGCGGUUCCCUGGGCCGGCACCGACGCUGAGGAGCGAAAGCGUGGGGAGCAAACAGGAUUAGAUACCCUGGUAGUCCACGCCGUAAACUUUGGGUACUAGGCGUGGCGUCUUAUCAACGGACGCCGUGGUCGAGCUAACGCGUUAAGUACCCCGCCUGGGGAGUACGGCCGCAAGGCUAAAACUCAAAGGAAUUGACGGGAGCCCGCACAAGCGGAGCAUGCGGCUUAAUUCGAUGCAACCCGAAGAACCUUACCUGGACUUGACAUCACGGGAAAAACCCUGGAAACAGGGUGUGCGUAAGCGUCCGUGACAGGUGG
rnacentral:rRNA from 1 species